rnacentral:lncRNA from 1 species
AAUGUUGUGGUAUCACUGUUGGGAUCCGGAUGGAUCGUCCGUCAUGCGUUAUCAGCAAAUAUGCACGAAAAAUAAAAAAAACACCGAACGAACGGUAAGAAAUAAAUAUAGAAAAAAAAAAUCAAAAUUUACGUAAUUCGACAAUUACAUACGUCCACGAGAAGAACGAGAGAGAUGCAUUUCACUAUAUGAAGAAAUAGAAGUACAAGUUAAACCUUAUGUCUUCUUCGUAUAAAAACCAGGAGCCUUAUGGUGAAUUCUAUCUUUCUUGUUCCAACGAAAACUCCAAAAAAAUACCGAAAGAGCUUUUCGUAAACCGAGAAGACCAAAUUAGAGAAGUAUAGAAACUCUAACCAAAUUUUUUUAUAUCGUUGCUUCGAAGAAUCCGAACUGCUCAGACAAGUUGGUCGAAAGCCUCCGCUCCUGCU